AUACGGAAGGUCCGGGCGUUAUCCGGAUUUAUUGGGUUUAAAGGGAGCGCAGGCGGCACUUCAAGCGUGACGUUAAAUUUCGGGGCUCACCCCCGUUUUGCGUCGCGAACUGUUGUGCUUGAGUAGGCGGCAGGGAGGCGGAAUUCGCGGUGUAGCGGUGAAAUGCUUAGAUAUCGCGAGGAACUCCGAUAGCGCAGGCAGCCUCCCGUUGCUUUACUGACGCUCAUGCUCGAAGGUGCGGGUAUCGAACAGGAUUAGAUGCCCUGGUAGUCCGCACUGUAAACGAUGGAUGCCCGCUGUUGGGCCUUUUGGGUUCAGUGGCCAAGAGAAAUCUUUAAGCAUCCCACCUGGGGAGUACGCCGGCAACGGUGAAACUCAAAGGAAUUGACGGGG
rnacentral:rRNA from 1 species